GACGUAGGGCGCGAGCGUUGUCCGGAUUUAUUGGGCGUAAAGAGCUCGUAGGUGGCGUGUCGCGUCUGCCGUGAAAGCCCAUGGCUUAACUGUGGGUCUGCGGUGGAUACGGGCAGGCUGGAGGCUGGUAGGGGCAAGCGGAAUUCCUGGUGUAGCGGUGAAAUGCGCAGAUAUCAGGAAGAACACCUAUGGCGAAGGCAGCUCUCUGGGACGGUACUGACGCUGAGACGCGAAAGCGUGGGAGCGAACAGG
rnacentral:rRNA from 1 species